UACGGAGGGGGCUAGCGUUGUUCGGAAUUACUGGGCGUAAAGCGCACGUAGGCGGCUUUGUAAGUUAGAGGUGAAAGCCCAGGGCUUAACCCUGGAAUUGCCUUUAAGACUGCAUCGCUAGAAUCGUGGAGAGGUGAGUGGAAUUCCGAGUGUAGAGGUGAAAUUCGUAGAUAUUCGGAAGAACACCAGUGGCGAAGGCGACUCACUGGACACGUAUUGACGCUGAGGUGCGAAGGCGUGGGGAGCAAACAGG
rnacentral:rRNA from 1 species